AGCGCCGCCAAGGGGUGUUUGCCAAAAUUCGGCAGACUGAGAUGUCAUCAGACGAACCCUUAGAACCUGAUCCGGCUAAUACCGGCGUAGGAAUGGGCCAAUCAACAGCA
rfam:Shewanella oneidensis MR-1, complete genome.